AUGGAUAAUACAAAUCACAAUAUCAUUGUGUGGAACGUCCGUGGGCUUAAUAAUGCAGCUAGGAGGGCUGCCAUGAGAAGUGUAGUGGAGCAUGCGGUGGCCUCUGUGGUGUGCAUCCUGGAGUCCAAGCUAGCGGUGGUGGACCAACGCGUGAUUGCCUCUUCGUUGGGCCUGAAAUUUGAUGCGUACGUGGUCCUACCCACGCGCAGCACGACAGGCAGGAUCAUUGUUGCCUGGGACUCUUCGGUGCUCAUGAUGCCUGCCUUCCUCAUCGACCAGUUCUCUGUCACGAUCGAGAUGGCUUUUGGGGAGGCCAACCAGUGGACCCUGACCACGGUUUACGGGCUGACGAAGGAUGCGCUGAAGAUAUAG
rnacentral:rRNA from 1 species